rnacentral:tRNA from 1 species
GGGGAGGUAGCUCAGGGGUAGAGUACUUGCUAGCAUGCACAGAAACCUGGGUUCAAUCUCCAGCACCACUU